GAAGAAAAACCCGACGAUGGUGACGGGAGGCUGAGGAACAGCCGGCUGCUCCAGAACCUUUCCCUGAACUUCAUGUUUGUAGAGAUAAGGAGCUCUGCUUUUAGAACGUGAUAAGAUCAUCUGUUCACAUGGACGUGGGUUUUUACCCACAAUCCUCCAGUUCUUCACAGACAGAAGCAGAUCCAGCAGAACCAUGGACUCUGGACCACGUUGGCGUUUGGAUCCAGAGUCUGAAUAAACAUCUAAUGACGGAUUCUUUAGAAACAGUAAAACAUUAGAUGGAGGGUUGGGUUCGUUCAGGUUUAUGUUUAGGAAGCCCUCCGGUAAACCGCCGCUCCGCCUGGCUUUCCCCGCAGGUUUCACCUGCAGCAGCAGGACGUUAUCACGCAGAUAACCGGCUUAUCUCUCCACGCCUCUCCUCUGCCAUGGCGGGAAUGUCUUCCGGUGGAAACGGGUUUUUCUUCGAAAGAAAACCGGGGAAACUUCUCCUUUUCUGCCCCAAAACGCAGCGGGGAUUUAAAAUCAAGACGACGAGGCGAGCAGGAACAAUUUCUGACUGACUUCCGGUGACGGGCGACACGAGGGCGACGUCAUCAAGUGAUGCCUUCAUGGACCACGGGGAUUUUGAGCACUGCACCUUGGUGAUGUUUCUCACUGUUCGAUGAUCUUAAAAAGAAAACGAAAUAAAAUCAAAUGUUUGAAAACUG